ACAUGCCUACAGCAUAGCGUUAAUGCACCGGAUCCCAUUAGAACUCUGUAGUUAAGUGCACUCAGGCUAGAGUAGUACUGGGAUGGGUGACCACCCGAGAAGUUCCUAGUGUUUUACAUGCC
rnacentral:rRNA from 1 species